rnacentral:rRNA from 1 species
CGGUGAUGGGGAGCUUGCUUCUCUGAUCAGUGGCGAACGGGUGAGUAACACGUGAGCAAUCUGCCCUUGACUCUGGGAUAAGCGUUGGAAACGACGUCUAAUACCGGAUACGACCUUGGAAGGCAUCUUCUGGGGUGGAAAGAAUUUUGGUCAAGGAUGAGCUCGCGGCCUAUCAGCUAGUUGGUGAGGUAAUGGCUCACCAAGGCGACGACGGGUAGCCGGCCUGAGAGGGUGACCGGCCACACUGGGACUGAGACACGGCCCAGACUCCUACGGGAGGCAGCAGUGGGGAAUAUUGCACAAUGGGCGAAAGCCUGAUGCAGCAACGCCGCGUGAGGGACGACGGCCUUCGGGUUGUAAACCUCUUUUAGUAGGGAAGAAGCGUAACAGUGACGGUACCUGCAGAAAAAGCACCGGCUAACUACGUGCCAGCAGCCGCGGUAAUACGUAGGGUGCAAGCGUUGUCCGGAAUUAUUGGGCGUAAAGAGCUCGUAGGCGGUUUGUCGCGUCUGCUGUGAAAACCCGAGGCUCAACCUCGGGCCUGCAGUGGGUACGGGCAGACUAGAGUGCGGUAGGGGAGAUUGGAAUUCCUGGUGUAGCGGUGGAAUGCGCAGAUAUCAGGAGGAACACCAAUGGCGAAGGCAGAUCUCUGGGCCGUAACUGACGCUGAGGAGCGAAAGCAUGGGGAGCGAACAGGAUUAGAUACCCUGGUAGUCCAUGCCGUAAACGUUGGGAACUAGAUGUGGGGACCAUUCCACGGUCUCCGUGUCGCAGCUAACGCAUUAAGUUCCCCGCCUGGGGAGUACGGCCGCAAGGCUAAAACUCAAAGGAAUUGACGGGGGCCCGCACAAGCGGCGGAGCAUGCGGAUUAAUUCGAUGCAACGCGAAGAACCUUACCAAGGCUUGACAUAUAGAGGAAACGGCUGGAAACAGUCGCCCCGCAAGGUCUCUAUACAGGUGGUGCAUGGUUGUCGUCAGCUCGUGUCGUGAGAUGUUGGGUUAAGUCCCGCAACGAGCGCAACCCUCGUCC